AUGACUGAAAACCAGUGUGGUCGUGUGGGUGCUAUUCCGGAGUGGAGGGGGUGGGGGGCGGCCGUCAUCUGCACACACAGGCCCCCAAGUCCCAGGGCUUGUCACCCAGAACCAGUUUCGGCAGCAUGCACAAAGCCUGAAGUGCCCUCGUCACCCCGCCUUGCUGGAGGGGACAUGACCCUCCUCAGGCCCCUCCUCUGCAGCCCCAGACAAGGAAGGCCCUCCUGGGAGAGGCCUGAGCAGAAGCAGGGCGCAGAAGCUCGUGGGUGCAGCCCUGAUGGGCAGGCCGAGCUCUCCACCUGGCUGCCUGGGACCACCCGGUGGGACACCCCGCCCACCCUGCCAGCCCUUACCCAGCGCCCACAUCCAAGCCCCGCCGGCCCAGGGUCGCUAGGAUCCCGCUUUGUCCUACCAGGUGGCCUUGAGCAAGGCUCUUCCGCUCCCGGAGCCUGGGAGCCCUACGCGUACCAGCGGCGCGCGCCCGGGGAAGCCAGCGCGCCUCAGUGUCGGAAGUCGGAGGUCCCGGCGCCCGGGCGCAGCUGGCCUCUCCCUCUCCGCCCUCGCAGGGCCUGCGAUCCAGCCGCCGCUCCUGCUGCAUCGGGAAUACUCCGAGGAUCAGCGCGCCUCCCGGUGGCCACACGCGGGAGCCGGGCCUUGGGAGGAGCUGCCAAGGGAUGGUGCCCCGCCCCUAACUCGGAGCCCACUAGGGGCCCUGGGAACCAGCAGCAGGGAGUGAAAAGAACCGGUCAGAUACGCGGGCCACGGAGGUCGGGCAGAGGGACUGCAUCGCGCCGGGGGAGGGCUGUGCCUUGCCCUCAGGGGGUCCCACGGCAGGCUGCCCGUGUGGCUGGGCUUUGGAUCAAGAGGCAGGGAGCAGGGACAGGGACGUUCAUCUGGAGGGAAGGGAGGGUGAUUCCACAGGGGACCCCCACCCCGCACCUGGAAGCCCGGGGCAACUGGCGAAGGAAGUUCGGAACGGAGGAGGUUGUCGCCACGUGGGACCAGGAAAGGCUCCGCAGAGGGUACAUCCCUCAAGGGACAACCCAGGCCACGUGGCCCAGGAGGAGCUGA
rnacentral:lncRNA from 1 species